rnacentral:lncRNA from 1 species
CUGACAGUUUUAAGUUGUGGCGUGAUCAAAAGUCACAGCUGUGGUUAGGGAUAUUUAUACGUUGGGUAUUAGUAGGAUGGAAGUGAUGAAGGGAGAGAGGCCAAUUAGGCCAUGAUUGCUCUGAGGAUGGGAAGUACGUGAAUGUGGAAUCUUGGGGCAAUAGAACGGACAGAACGUAGUGUAGCAAAGCUUCUCUCCAUAACGUUCCUCUGGCCAAGUGAGAAACAUGAAGAUUAGAAGUGCAGCACAUGCCUUCUGAAGAAGCCAGGCAUGGAACAGUUCUGGGAACACAGCACUGAUAAAACUCUUAGGGAUGAAUUUACCUAUACCUGUGUUUCAGCCUUGUGAUCUGAUUCCACAGGAUGCGAGCAUAUGCAGUGGAAACAUUGUGUUAUUCCAUCCUCAGAAGAAAAGAGACAGUAUUAUACUUCGUCUCUUGCUAGUACAGAUCUAUAAACUAAGAAUAAUCUGGAGAGGUCAAUUCCUAAUUAGAACCUAGUAUGGAAGACUAGGAUCCUAAAACUCAGUGGUAACUCCGAAGAGUAAAAAUCUACCCCAGAGCUAUACGUGAAAGAUUGGAAUUUUACAAGGAGGUUUGCAUUUUAAAACUGGUUGCUGAGAUUUCACCAGAACUACCACAGAAACAUACCAGGAAAGCUGAGAGAAUCCACAGAUCCUUUGAAGGAAGUGGCUUGCUGUUGCAGGCUCCUUGAGACAGCCAAAAACUCUCACGGCAUUGGGAGACUAUGGAACAUUUGGAGAAGCCAUACAUUGUUUGUAUAUCCACUUUGGAAAUUUCUGGGGUAUUUUGUACAUUUUAUUUUUUUAAUUUUUAAUUAAAAAUUUUUUUGUAGAUACAUAGUGGGUGUAUAUAUUUAUAGGGU